rnacentral:rRNA from 1 species
UACGUAGGGGGCUAGCGUUGUCCGGAAUCAUUGGGCGUAAAGGGUGUGUAGGUGGCGCCGUAAGUCGGGUGUGAAAUUUCGGAGCUUAACUCCGAAACUGCAUUCGAUACUGCGGUGCUUGAGGACUGGAGAGGAGACUGGAAUUCAUGGUGUAGCAGUGAAAUGCGUAGAGAUCAUGAGGAAGACCAGUGGCGAAGGCGGGUCUCUGGACAGUUCCUGACACUGAGACACGAAGGCCAGGGGAGCAAACGGG